UAAGUUCUUCAAUAUUCAAUACUGACAUCUAAUUGUCCAAUUAUCAGGUAAAAGUCCGGUUGAGAAGAUUAUGUCGCAGACUGACACAUCAAAUCUAAUCUUUUAUCUUUGAUAUCAAUUCAUCAACCUCUCUCGGUGGUCAUUCCCCAUAUCUAAGCUGAAAACAUGAAUGGAUUGUUGCUACUCCUGAUGCUCGAGGAGAAUGUUUUUGGGUAGUAUGGUUGAAGGUUGAGUUGUGCAGGUGCUGGAGGAGAAAAGAUCUGUGGUUCUGAGGUUAAUACUAUAUUUAUUGGGCUUGGCUUUUAUUCUUAUGUGAUAGUAUAUAUUGGUUAUUGGGUGAUUGCCAUAAACUCCAUGAUGGAGUGACUAUGUUCACUUUAGGAAAAAUUUUGAAAAGAAAAAGAUCCAAUGAUUUUGAUUUCUUAGCAGUUUGCACCACCUAAUGUUAUUGAGUUCUAGUCAUGUUUGUUCGUCUCAUACUCAUUAUAUCUUAUCAGCACGAUUCCUACAUUGUUUCUUCCUUGAAGGCUUUUCAAGAUUUUUUUUUCCUUUUUCAAUGUGAUGGGUUACGACUUAUUGGUGGAGACAAGCCUACUUCUUCUGCUGAACUAACUCUUCGUGUGAUUGUUUAAAGAAGAUGGUUCUUGAAACUUUUGUUGUUGUUUUUUUUUUAUAUAAUUUUUUCCAAAGUUGAGGAGCUAGAAACAACACUCAUGGAAAUGGUCACCGAAGAUAAUCGACAUCCUAUUAAGUGCCAGGGCACAAAUCUUUUGUUUGUGAGGAAAGCUUUCUUAUACUUGUUUUUAUUAAGUGUUAGGGUAAAAAUGUGAUGGGCUUUCGAAUUUUAGAUACUAUGCUUGCCCGGUCUUAUUGUACUUAAUUGAGGCUCCUUUUUGUAGUUUGUUGCAACAAAAUUUACCCCAUAUAGACCAUGGUGACGAGGGAUGAUGUUGUAAUUUGAAUUUUUGAAGUACAAGGACUUGUAUGUAUGCCUUUGACAAACUGAAUUUUAAUCUUUUCACGAGGGUGAGCAAUAGUUAAAUCUAGAUGAGGUUGGGGCAUUUAGAGUUAGAUUAAUGAAUGGUUUCUAACAAACACUAUAGUAGCUUCUUGUCAUAUUCCAUGUUUAUUGAUUAAACAAUACUUUGAUUCCACAGAACUUUAGUUGCUCCACUUGAGAGGCUAAAGUUGGAAUAUAUAGUUCGUCUAAUGUGACUAGUUGUUGAGCAUAAAUUUACCUGUGUGGUUCAUAAAUUUACAUGUGUAGAUCAUAAAUGCGAAUCUUUAAUGUCUUGAGUAUCUUUAUUUCUAUUUCAUUCUCUCAUUCUUG